rnacentral:rRNA from 1 species
GAUGAACGCUAGCUACAGGCUUAACACAUGCAAGUCGAGGGGUAACAAGAGGAAAGCUUGCUUUUCUUGUUGACGACCGGCGCACGGGUGAGUAACGCGUAUCCAACCUGCCUAUAACUAGGGAAUAACCUUGCGAAAGUAAGACUAAUACCCUAUGAUUUCCUUUGAUGACAUCAGAUUAGGAAUAAAGAUUUAUCGGUUAUAGAUGGGGAUGCGUCUGAUUAGCUUGUUGGCGGGGUAACGGCCCACCAAGGAAACGAUCAGUAGGAGUUCUGAGAGGAAGGUCCCCCACAUUGGAACUGAGACACGGUCCAAACUCCUACGGGAGGCAGCAGUGAGGAAUAUUGGUCAAUGGGCGGAAGCCUGAACCAGCCAAGUAGCGUGCAGGAUGACGGCCCUAUGGGUUGUAAACUGCUUUUAUACAGGAAUAAAGUUAGCCACGUGUGGUUAUUUGUAGGUACUGUAUGAAUAAGGACCGGCUAAUUCCGUGCCAGCCGCCGCCGUAA